GUGCGCUAACGCACGCGUGCUGCUGCACUGUGCAAGUGAAUUAAAAUUCACUUGCACAGUGUAAAAGACACUUGAAAUAAUGCAGAAGAAGAAGUCUCUUACCUGGUCUGCUGGAGGCGAAGGCGCGUGGUUGCUGAUCAACCAGCCAUUUUCUUGCUUUCCCUGCCUUUGAGUUUAUUCCUCUGUUUUUUGUUUCGUUUGGUGAUACUCCCCUCUGCAGGUUCACUCCCUCUAGCCAGAGAACAAUCCGUUUCUUCCAACCAUUGAUUGCAGGUGUAAUGGCAGCGAUGGCAGCGGCGGGCAUCCGUUGAAGAAGAUGAACAGCGUAUCCACAGACGGCGCCGUUUUGAAGUUUAACGAUUAUUUGCGUUUUGGCCCUUGAAGUUGUAAAUGUUUUGUAAUUAAGCCCCUAGUUCAAACUGUAAUUGGCUCCCUGCAUUUGCGCGCAAUUUUUAAUGUAGUCCUUGGAUUUUAACUUUAUAA